AAUAAAGUUUUAUUCUACUGUAUUCUAUUCUUUACAGCAGAAGGCUUUGUUUUGAUCUCUAGUGGAACCACCUCACCUAACCAUCAACUCAGCCCUGCUAGCAGGAAAAAACACCACCCCCAGUAUCCCAAUGGCCUGUACUCCAUCAAAGAAUACCUGUAAGGUGACAGCAAUGACAAAGUUAGUCUGGAAAGCAAAGAUCCCUUUUGAGGAGCUGGUGAAAAAGUUGAUGCUGACAUCCAACUCAUGAAGAAUUCUACAAACACAUAAAACCACGUCCUGUAAAUCAAUGCAAACCUAGGGAAUCAGCUGAGCACUCCAGACCACACAGUGCUCUACAGUCGCUACUGUACGUUAGAAGGAAUAUUACAACUCCUCUGGAAAUAAUUGUUUCGUCACUUUUCUGUCCCAAAUUAAGUCUAUCCGUCUGUCAUUUGUAAAAUGACCCAAAAAUAUUUUAUAGAUUUCAUUCAACGUUUGUGCAAUCAUUUGACAUAUGUAUUUAAGAAUAUAAAUACAAUAAAACCUGUUAUUUGACAUAUUAGUUGGCCCUAUACUUUGUGAAUAUUUUCUUGACUGUUGAUACCCAAACGCUUCAGCACUUUCACCUUCAAAUUGUAAUUAUCCUAAGUGUUUAUGAUUUGGAUGAUAUUUCGCUCUUCAACGUUAUUCCACAAAUAUGUGGAUCGACCAGAGGACACGUGUACAAAUGUGUGCCUGAUAAAUAGGGGAGAGAUGUUAUGUCUUUGGUUAAAUCUUGUAAGGUUAUUUUAGAGGUAAAACCUCAAGCUUGAGGCGAGUCAGAAUAUUGGAGUAAUGUUGUCUGAGAGAGUCUCGCGCCCAGGUUGCUCAGAGGUCGAUCGAGUCCCAGCCCCUGUCAUUUCCCUUCUCCUGUCAUUUCCCUUCUCGCACUCGGCGUUCCUCGGUUUGCCCCGUGAGCACACUGCCCCUAUUAAUUCCUCAGGAAAUGCGCUUCCUCGAGGCCUGGCCCUGGAUCCCACUCCUGCAGAAUGUGUCUCAAUCUAGACGUUCUGUGUGCCCGGUCCAAGCACAGCGCUCCCGAGAGGCUGCUUCUACUCUACAUAAUGACCUCUGUCGUUUCGUCGUUGACUCCUGCUGGAAUAUGUGGAAAAUUAACCGCUUGAUCAAUCCCGCUAAAGUCGAUGUCCGCGCCCCUGCGGAAAUCUAAUUAGCAUAAUAAUAAAAAAUCCCAAUAAAAUCUAUCAGUUUAAGACAGAGAUAUCUUUUUUUAUUGCAUUGGGUGAGUCUCAAUCUACUGCAUCCGCCUAUGUUGCACUUCUGCAUUUGCGGUGAAAGGUGACAGAGCUGGAGCAGUGUUUGUCAGACCAUGAGACAUUCCAAAAAUCGGUCUUCUUACAAAAGCGUCUGUAGCUUCCGAAUGGUUUGACCUUCAAGCUAUUACGAAGAGAUUGAAAGAUGAGACUCUCACGAGCAUGUGCAUGUCAGUUG